CUUAAAAAAAAUACACAAAUAAUGCGUAGUAAUAAAAUUAAAUAAUGGAUGUACAAACGAUACAUAAAACCACAAUAAAAAAUAGGACCUAAUACAAAUGUGAAUAUAAAAUUAUACUACCAUACCUAUACGCUUAAACUACAACCCAUUUAGUAUGAUACACCCAAUAACUAAAUCCAAGAAAAAUAAAUAAAUAAAUAAAUAAAUAAAUACAUCCAUCCAUCCAUUUUCUACCAAUUGUCCCUAAAUAUUUUAAAUGCAAAUAUAUAUCUAUUUUAUUAAAAGUUAAUCGAAAUGCUGAUAAGUUUCCUUGUGUGCAGAGUGGGCAAUUGCCGACGCUAAAUGUGCCUGUGCAUAAAAAAAACGGCUCCCAAAUGAACGGCUCCACAGCUGGUUAUCUGUUGUCAAUGUUCACAUAAAAGAGCCGUUCUAAAAACUUGAAUCGUUCGCGAACGUCACAUCUCUAAGCACAACACAUAUCGGAUAGCUAUCAUCGCAGUGUGGCAUGCUAGCUUUAGCCUGUUAGCUAACAAACCAGUGGGCGCCGAACAGCAUUUUGGCUUUUAUUUCUAUGUUGUAGUUAACUAGUUCAACUAGUUAAUUUCCUCUACAUUUACCAGCUACCUACCGCAGAGUGUCGCCCUUCCCCCUGCAACUUAAUCACUUACGACUCCUGCUCGCCAAACUUAUCACAUCCUCGUCCAGUUUUGGCGGAGAGAUGACGUCACCGUCGAUAUCAUCCAAACGUCGUCGAAAAAAAUCCGUUUUUGGAAUUUUCCAGGAGUGUCUUCUUGGUCUGGUGGAAUGCCGACAGGACGCAGCACGUCUCUGCUUGUCUCUGAUCACCGCCCUAAAGACGACUCGGGAGAGGAGAGGCAACUAAUGAAAUAGGCCGAGUGGCUCCAGCCUGCUGCUCUCAGGAGACCCAUCUGCUUAUCAGCAAACAGAAAGGGAGAAGCCAUUUCCUCCCAUCCCGCAGUGGAGGGCACCUGGAGACACCCGGGGGCUCAGGUAGGAGCGACUCCAUGUUGCCAUGGAGAAGAAAACACUCAUUUCCUGCCUAAUAACAAACGAGAUAAAGAGGCAUUGUUUUGGCCAAUCUCCCCGUCCUCGAGGGGGUGCACACUCUGCCGUCUCGGCGCUCUCUGGCAGCAAAGCAAAGUGUUGCUGCGUGUGCGCAAAAAACACCAUCUUAUUACCUCGGCUGCCCCUGGAUGACGACGCUUUGGCAGAGUAAACACAGCGUCCAGUGGGUAGAGUCGAUAUGUUUAGGAGGCAACAUAUUAACUGGAAUUUUAUUUGAAACACACCAUCACUUUAUAAGACCGCUCUGAAAGGACUGUAAAAACAUACACUAUAUUGCCCACCAGUGUUGGGGUGUAACGCCUUACUUUCAGCGGUAAAUAGUAAUCUAACGCGUUAUUUUAUACAAACCCCGUUUCCAUAUGAGUUGG